ensembl:lncRNA
GUCUCACCAGCUGGACACCGAAUGCACACGAAACGAGGCCGCGGGGCGGUUUGUUCCUCAGCUUCACGAGAUGAAGAAGGAGCUCCGGAGUCGUUCUCCCUGAUCUCAGCAUGCGGAGAGCUGAUGUGCUGCUCAACGUGGAUCCCCAAGCGAGAGACGCCUGCCUGAAUAACUCCACAAACACCGAUACCUUCUGUUCAGUGGCGAAAAAAGCACAGCGGAAGAUGUUAGAUGAAGAAGUGCUCUGCGGUUCUGAUCCCACUGAGGCCUGCGCUGACCUCCAUGGACUGCCUGCAGAACGCCACCGUGGCCCCCGACGCACUGGAGUGUGCGAAGUGCUUCUGAUCCC